rnacentral:rRNA from 1 species
GUAGGGAAUAUUGGGCAAUGGAGGCAACUCUGACCCAGCCAUGCCGCGUGCAGGAUGAAGGCCCUCUGGGUUGUAAACUGCUUUUAUCUGGGAAGAAACCUUUGGAUUCAUCUGAAGCUGACGGUACCAGAGGAAUAAGCACCGGCUAACUCCGUGCCAGCAGCCGCGGUAAUACGGAGGGUGCAAGCGUUAUCCGGAUUUACUGGGUUUAAAGGGUGCGCAGGCGGACUGUUAAGUCAGUGGUGAAAGCCCCGGGCUCAACCUGGGAAUUGCCAUUGAUACUGGCGGUCUUGAGUACAGUAGAGGUAGGCGGAAUGCAACAUGUAGCGGUGAAAUGCUUAGAUAUGUUGCAGAACACCGAUUGCGAAGGCAGCUUGCUAUGCUGUUACUGACGCUCAGGCACGAAAGCGUGGGGAUCAAACAGGAUUAGAAACCCGGGUAGUCC